UACGUAGGGUCCGAGCGUUGUCCGGAAUUAUUGGGCGUAAAGAGCUCGUAGGCGGCCUGUCGCGUCGGAUGUGAAAGCCCGGGGCUUAACCCCGGGUCUGCAUUCGAUACGGGCAGGCUAGAGUGUGGUAGGGGAGAUCGGAAUUCCUGGUGUAGCGGAGAAAUGCGCAGAUAUCAGGAGGAACACCGGUGGCGAAGGCGGAUCUCUGGGCCAUUACUGACGCUGAGGAGCGAAAGCGUGGGGAGCGAACAGG
rnacentral:rRNA from 1 species